UGCGAGUCACCCGAAGGGUGGCAUACGGCUCAGUAACACGUAGNNNNNNNNCCCUGAGGACGAGGAUAACCCCGGGAAACUGGGGAUAAAUCUCGAUAGGUCAUAGUUUCUGGAAUGGGCUAUGGCUCAAAUCUACAUGGCCUUAGGAUGGGACUGCGUCCGAUCAGGUUGUUGGUGGGGUAAUGGCCCACCAAGCCUAUNACCGGUACGGGCUCUGAGAGGAGGAGCCCGGAGAUGGGCACUGAGACAAGGGCCCAGGUCCUAUGGGGCGCAGCAGGCGCGAAACCUCCGCAAUGGGCGAAAGCCUGACGGGGUCAGUCCGAGUGGCUCCUGCUAAAGGAGUCUUUUGCCAGCUCUAAAUCGGCUGGUGAAUAAGGGGUGGGCAAGCCUGGUGUCAGCCGCCGCGGUAAUACCAGCACCCCGAGUGGUCGGGAUGAUUAUUGNGCCUAAAGCAUCCGUAGCCGGUAUAGUAAGUCCUCCGUUAAAUCCACCUGCUUAACAGGUGGGCUGCGGAGGAUACUGCUACACUAGGAGGCGGGAGAGGCGAGGGGUAUUCNACGGGUAGGGGUAAA
rnacentral:rRNA from 1 species